rnacentral:rRNA from 1 species
UAGGGAAUCUUCGGCAAUGGACGAAAGUCUGACCGAGCAACGCCGCGUGAGUGAAGAAGGUUUUCGGAUCGUAAAACUCUGUUGUUAGAGAAGAACGUUGCAUAGAGUGGAAAAUUAUGCAAGUGACGGUAUCUAACCAGAAAGGGACGGCUAACUACGUGCCAGCAGCCGCGGUAAUACGUAGGUCCCGAGCGUUGUCCGGAUUUAUUGGGCGUAAAGCGAGCGCAGGUGGUUUAAUAAGUCUGAUGUAAAAGGCAGUGGCUCAACCAUUGUGUGCAUUGGAAACUGUUAGACUUGAGUGCAGUAGAGGAGAGUGGAAUUCCAUGUGUAGCGGUGAAAUGCGUAGAUAUAUGGAGGAACACCGGUGGCGAAAGCGGCUCUCUGGACUGUCACUGACACUGAGGCUCGAAAGCGUGGGUAGCAAACAGGAUUAGAUACCCUGGUAGUCCA